rnacentral:rRNA from 1 species
UUGACCUCAAAUCGGGUGAGACUACCCGCUGAACUUAAGCAUAUCAAUAAGCGGAGGAAAAGAAACUAACAAGGAUUCCCCUAGUAACUGCGAGUGAAGCGGGAAAAGCUCAAAUUUAAAAUCUGGCGGUCUUUGGCCGUCCGAGUUGUAAUUUAGAGAAGCGUCUUCCGCGCCGGACCGUGCACAAGUCUCCUGGAAUGGAGCGUCAUAGAGGGUGAGAAUCCCGUCUUUGGCACGGAUGCUCGGUGCUUCUGUGAUGCGCUCUCGAAGA